UAAGAACUGGAAACCAGAAAAUUUUCCUGAAUGUAGUAGUUAAUAAUGCUAUGGAAGGGUUAGACAGCAUUUGAAAAUGUAACACUGCUAUUCAGUUAACAGUUAUUUAUAUGUAUGCUCAACCAUGUUUGCUUCAGACUAUUACAUGAACUAGAUGCAAUUUAUACAUAAAUGCCACAAGGUCCCAAAAUAUGCAUACUUUUUGUUUUAGAAUUAGAACUUGAGUGUGUAAAAUAACAUUUAGGAAAAAACAAAAGAUGUAAAUUUCAUCAGCACAGUAACUUGUUAAAACAUUUACUCCUGGUCGCCACUGUUUUCAGCUCAAAUGCUUCUAAUAAGUAAAAUAUAUUCAUUUUUAGGCUUUUUCAUUGUAUUGUUGUUAUUAUAAGCCAAUUGAACUGUAGAGCAGCCAGUUAAUGAUCGCUACACAAUUCUACCAGAAAUAUAACCUCGGCAGUAAUCUGCAUAGACCUCUAAGAGAAAAUCUGAAAUUUCAUUUUUUAUGGGGUGUUCACUGUAUGAGGACCCAUAAGUUUACUUAUGACUAUCAAACAAACUCCAGAAGCUGGUAGAGAAACUAUAGAGAGAAAGGUAAGAAGCAAUAAAACAAACGUUUUUCUUUCUGUAAUAAUUAGCUUUGACUGGAAGCUUCCGAGUUAAAAUAUAAUUGAUGUAUAAUUGUAGAUAUCAGGUUAUAUUUGUCUAAUUUCGUGUCGUAGUCUGCUCUCUUACCAAGUAUUUUAUAAACAUUAAUUAUUCAUAGUUUAAAAACAACUGACUCAAUUAAGGUAGUUUAAUAUUAGUUUACAUCACCAGAAAUAAAGCAUGGGGAAGCCUAAGUUUCUUAUUUUCUGAUACAAACAAUCCUGUUAGUCAGCCUACAAGUUCAAUGAAAUAACUUCUCAUAUGAGAAGUUACUGGAGGAAACAUUAGUGACAAAUAAUUUUUGGUAAUAACUGCAUGUAAUUAUAAUGUGGAACUUAUUUCCAGCCUGCUUUAUGGUUGGAUUUUGAGCCAGUUUGGCCAUAUUUUUACACACUAUUACUUUAAGCUUAGUAAAAAACAAUUUUUUUACCUAAUUCUUUUUUACUGAAAUCAAUAUUUUAAUUCAAGUAAAAACUACUAGGUGAUAAUGCUGAUUAGUUUGUCUAUAAUAAAUUAUAACAAAAUGUGUAUAGAAAUAUAGUCCAAAAUCUUUUAUUUAAGUUUUUAUUUUGUGGAUGAUUAAAGAUAAAAAUGCUAGGCAGAACUUAUUAUUGCUCUAAAAAAGCAAAGAACUGAAAUGGUUUUAAUAGUGUGUGUUUAAAGAUCUCAUUAUCAGAUAAAUUGUGUUAUAAAGUGGUUCAAAUUACCAUUCAAUUUGUUAAGAAAAUUUAUAUGUACAUUUAUUGAACAAUUACUAAGAUGAGUACAAAAAAAGUAAUAACUAGCUUAUUUUACCCAAUGUAAAAGUAAACUAUCAUAAAUGUUUCACUGUAUAAAACAUAUCAAUACUGUAAAUCUGGUGGAAUAUUUUGAUAGAAACAAUUGGUUUGGUGAAUGUAAUUGUUAUAUGAGUAACUUAUGUUCAUUAAUUUGAUUGUCACAGUUUUCUUCACACGAUUGUACAUAUACUACAAAAUAAUUUGCUUUGAGUUUAUUACUUUUUCAUAAUUCAAGAAAAUAAUAUAUUCAUAUCAUUUAAUGUAGAGUAUGUUUUCAGAAAAUGUUGUAUCUUUUAAGGCAAACUCUCAGGGAUAUUUACUGCUGAUUUUUCAAAGUAUUCAUCAAUAUAAUUAUAUCUUACCAUGUGAGUCUGUUUUAUCUUGAAGUCUAGAUGCUGUAAGAGACAAGUCAAAAUAAAGUGUUACAUCCAUA